rnacentral:rRNA from 1 species
UGGGGAAUUUUGGACAAUGGGCGAAAGCCUGAUCCAGCAAUGCCGCGUGUGUGAAGAAGGCCUUCGGGUUGUAAAGCACUUUUGUCCGGAAAGAAAUCCUUGGCUCUAAUACAGUCGGGGGAUGACGGUACCGGAAGAAUAAGCACCGGCUAACUACGUGCCAGCAGCCGCGGUAAUACGUAGGGUGCAAGCGUUAAUCGGAAUUACUGGGCGUAAAGCGUGCGCAGGCGGUUUGCUAAGACCGAUGUGAAAUCCCCGGGCUCAACCUGGGAACUGCAUUGGUGACUGGCAGGCUAGAGUAUGGCAGAGGGGGGUAGAAUUCCACGUGUAGCAGUGAAAUGCGUAGAGGUGUGGAGGAAUACCGAUGGCGAAGGCAGCCCCCUGGGCCAAUACUGACGCUCAUGCACGAAAGCGUGGGGAGCAAGCAGGAUUAGAUACCCUGGUAGUCCACGCCCUAAACGAUGUCAACUAGUUGUUGGGGAUUCAUUCCUUAGUAACGUAGCUAACGCGUGAAGUUGACCGCCUGGGGAGUACGGUCGCAAGAUUAAAACUCAAAUGAAUUGACGGGGUCAUAGCUGUUUCCU